UACGUAGGGGGCAAGCGUUGUCCGGAUUCAUUGGGCGUAAAGAGCGUGUAGGCGGCCAGGUAGGUCGGUUGUGAAAACUGGAGGCUCAACCUUCAGACGUCGACCGAAACCAUCUGGCUAGAGUCCGGGAGAGGAGAGUGGAAUUCCUGGUGUAGCGGUGAAAUGCGCAGAUAUCAGGAAGAACACCCGUGGCGAAGGCAGCUCUCUGGGUCCCUACCGACGCUGGGGUGCGAAAGCAUGGGGAGCGAACAGG
rnacentral:rRNA from 1 species